GCGGCGGCGGCAUGAGGCGCGGGGCCGGUGUCCGCGGGAGGGAGGCGCUGCCCGCGGCCCGGUCGCUCCCGCUGCAGCUGCUCGCCGGCGCGCUGUACCCUGCCAGCUGGGCCUCGGCCGUUCUCGUCUCGGCCGCCUCCCGGGCCGCCGCUGGUGACCCCUCGCCGCGCCGCCGGAGGCUUCACCCGCGCCCUCCCUCAGGACGCGCCCGCGGAGCUCGAGCUCCUUCGCCUCGGACCCGAAGGCCGCGUUGUACCGGGCGGCGGCGAGGCCGGAAGAUGGCCUGGGUGCUCAAGAUGGACGAGGUGAUCGAGUCUGGGCUGGUGCACGACUUCGACUCCAGCCUCUCGGGCAUCGGGCAGGAGCUGGGCGCCGGCGCUUACAGCAUGAGUGAUGUUUUGGCAUUGCCCAUUUUCAAGCAGGAAGAUUCCAGCCUUCCUUUGGAUGGUGAAACUAAGCACCCUCCCUUUCAGUAUGUGAUGUGUGCUGCAACGUCACCUGCAGUGAAACUGCAUGAUGAGACACUCACUUACUUGAACCAAGGUCAGUCUUAUGAAAUUCGGAUGCUGGAUAAUCGGAAAAUGGGAGAUAUGCCUGAGAUCAGUGGAAAGUUGGUAAAGAGUAUCAUAAGGGUUGUAUUCCAUGAUAGACGUCUGCAAUAUACAGAGCAUCAACAGCUUGAAGGUUGGAAGUGGAAUCGCCCAGGAGACAGACUUCUUGAUUUAGAUAUUCCAAUGUCUGUGGGAAUAAUUGACACAAGGACAAAUCCAAGCCAGCUAAAUGCAGUUGAAUUUCUGUGGGACCCUGCAAAACGCACGUCUGCUUUCAUUCAGGUCCACUGUAUCAGCACAGAAUUCACUCCUCGGAAACACGGAGGUGAAAAGGGAGUGCCUUUUAGAAUCCAGGUCGACACUUUCAAGCAGAAUGAAAAUGGGGAAUACACAGAUCACCUUCACUCAGCUAGCUGCCAAAUCAAAGUUUUUAAGCCUAAAGGUGCAGAUAGGAAACAAAAAACUGACCGAGAAAAGAUGGAAAAGAGAACAGCUCAUGAAAAAGAAAAGUAUCAGCCAUCCUAUGAUACCACAAUCCUCACAGAGAUGAGGCUUGAGCCUAUAAUUGAAGAUGCAGUUGAACAUGAGCAGAAAAAGUCCAGCAAGCGGACUUUGCCAGCAGACUACGGUGAUUCUCUGGCAAAGCGAGGCAGUUGUUCUCCGUGGCCUGAUACCCCCACAGCCUAUGUGAAUAACAGCCCUUCCCCAGCGCCCACUUUCACCUCCUCACAACAGAGCACGUGCAGCAUCCCAGACAGCAAUUCUUCUUCCCCAAAUCAUCAGGGAGAUGGAGUUUCACAGGCAUCUAGUGAACAAAUUCAGCCUUCAGCUACAACCCAGGAAGCACAGCAAUGGCUAGUGAAAAACAGAUUCUCUUCUUACACAAGACUGUUUUCUAAUUUUUCAGGUGCCGACUUAUUAAAGCUGUCAAAAGAGGAUUUAGUUCAAAUUUGUGGUGCAGCCGAUGGAAUUCGGCUCUAUAAUUCACUGAAGUCAAGGUCAGUUAGGCCUCGUUUAACCAUCUAUGUCUGUCGGGAGCAGCCAAGCAGCCCAGCGCUGCCAGGGCAGCUGCAUGCCGCAGGCAAUGGCGAGAGCAGCGGUGGGACAUCCUACGGUGGGUACUGAGAGAGGGGUGCAUUCCUCUCACUGUCUAAGAUCAUCAGCAACAGGAAGGACAAGGUCAGGUCUUAACAGCAGCAGAAGAGCUAGACACAGGCUGAGGAUAUAGUUUUAUGAUGAGUGUUUACCUAGUAUAUGCAAGACCCUUGGUUUGGUCCUCAGCAACACAAUACACACACACAAAAUUGCCUUAACACUUAAUAUGAGGGACUCUUAAAAUCUUCCCUCAUUGUGUGGUAGGUGGCUGGGUCUGUCUCCCUUGUCUACCAUUUUGAAGUCGAGUGAAUGCAGCACACUCAGGACUUUGCAGAGAAACAUGGUACUGAAUCCGAGGAGGCAUUUAUUUGCCCUGAUAACAAGUGGGCAAGGCUCCUGAAAAAUACAGUAGGCCUGGGGUGUUGGAGCACCGCCUUUGUAAGUGUGACCACUGAGUUUGAACCCUAGUUCCACCAAAAACAAAUGAUCUUAUGUUUUUGAUUUUACUGAGACGUUGCAAGGAUAGUAGUCACAAUUCUGAGCUUUUCCAUCCAAGUCAUUCAAACUCGAAAAGGGAGCUAUUCAUGUAUUUCCCUACAAUCUUAAAUAUACAUAUUCUUUAUAUGCAAGAUAAAGACUUUUGGAAGGUAUGUUCCCAACAUGAAUGUUGGUGGGUGUGUGGAAAUAUUGUAGACCGUAACCGUUGAUCAGGUCAGCAAACCUUUUGUUUGAGGGCAUAUAGUAAAUAUCAAACUCUUCAGACCAUAGGGCCUCUUAAACAUUUAACUGUCAUUGUAGUGCUAAAAUAACCAGAGAUGGUAUGUAAAUGAUAACUGUGACGAUGUUCAUUAGCAGACAUAUAUUAGCAGACAUAUUCUAUAAUCACACAACUUUGCUUGUUUGGGGAAGCAAAGUUCUCAGCAAUGAUACUCCUGAUUUAUGGAUGGCUUGAUUCCAUGAUUGAGCCAGGGCCUACGUGAUUGAGACUCACUACAGAUGCAUGCCAUGAAGAUGUUGUAUGUUAAGUUAUAUGUCCCCAAAAUAGGGGGCACUGGGUGGACUGUGGCUGGAACAUUUUAUAAGGAAAGGUCAGGAUUCAUUUUCUCUAUCCUUACCAGUUUUUGUGGUGGUGGUGGUAGUAGUGUUCUUUGAUUUUACUAGGGUGUAUUACUAGAGUUUGAACCCAGGACCUUCUGCUUCUCCAAUUCCCUUGCUUUAGUCAUUUUGGGGGUUGUUUCUUGUAAUGGUACUGGGAUUUGA